CAGGGGCAGAGACUGAAACGCUGCAGCUGCAAGCCCAGGAACGCCUGGAACUGCCAGAAGCUGGCAGAGGCAAGGAAGGAUCCUUCCCUCAAGGCUUCCUGAAAGGUGGUCCAUGGAUUAACCAGAGAUCCACAGAGAUCAACGUAUGAAGGUGUUCACUGAAUUGUCAUCCACACUAAUGCAAGCAACCAAUUAAUUCAUCAACCAGGAGACGAGCAUGGGCAGAAUAAUGCCCCCCCUAUCCCGCCCCAAAGAUCCUGACAUCCUAAGUCCGAGAGCCUAAAAAAAUACUUAAAAUCUGGUGGAGAUCUGCUCAUCUAGGAUGACUGUGACAGCUUCCUUCAUGACUGGACCAGGGAAGGCCUGGAAUGGACAAACUCUUUAUAAGGGGUGACGAAGAACACGCAAGAGGUUAGUAAACCACAGAAGUUCAAAGAUUCCUGUCCAGGUGAACUUCAAGGACAAAGAACUUUUUUAUCUUUCUAUCUGAGCACACAGUGGGAACAUCAAGCAUUGGCAGCUCAUUUGAAAGUUGCUGAUCGAUUGAAAACUACUCCGUAAGCCCAAGCUGUAUCUCCCAAGUUACCAAAAACCAUUAGGUUAGUUCUUCAGUUACAACAUCACGUAGUGAGUGGUCUGCCUCAACACUGGUGUUCCCUCAGGCCCUGAUAUUUGUAGUGUGUGAUUUUGCAGAAGGCAACAUUUUUUAGGAACACAUAGAUCGUGCGAGGGCAGAAACCCCUAUACUCAAUUGGAUAUUUUAAGACCUACAUAGGCACUGAACUGGCUGAAACUGACCAAACCCAAAGUGCUGACCACUCCAGACCUGCCAAAUGGCAUUCUGAAUGUGUCUGAUAAUUAUGCAAAGAACGGGGAUAUGUGGAUGUAAUUUGGCACUAUUUACUCAUACCAAAACACUAAAGUAAGUUCUGCAAUCCUGAAAAAAUAGUGGUUGCUAAAAAGCCUUGAGGAGCAAUUGCACAAUGCCAAGCCAUGUGUGUGAGCAACAUGCAUGCACAAAGACAAGAAUGUGUGGACACACCUGUCAUUUUUUAAAAAGCAUCAUCACUGAUGUGUGACAUGCCCAGCUGCCUCACUGAAUAGGUUACUCGCCCCAACUAUUCUCCUACCACGAAAGCUUCUGACAUUUUUGAAAGCUUUCCCUAUCUAUAAAAGAUACCAUGCCAGAGGUUUUUUUUUUUACAGUAAGUUUCACCAAAAUUUUAAGAUAAAGAUAACUGCCAUGUUAUAUAAAUAUUUUAAAAAAUAAAUAAAUCAGGGCUUCCCUGGUGGCACAGUGGUUGAGAGUCCGCCUGUCGACGCAGGGGACACGGGUUCGUGCCCCGGUCUGGGGGGAUCCCACAUGCCGCAGAGCGGCUGGGCCUGUGAGUCAUGGCUGCUUAGCCUGCGCAUCCGGAGCCUGUGCUCCGCAACGGGAGAGGCCACAACAGUGAGAGGCCCGCAUACCGCAAAAAAUCAAUCAAUCAAUCAAUCAAUCAAAGAAAGCUACCCAAAAGUGACCAUGCUUCCAAACCUGUACAACAAAAAAAUCAAAGGCCACUUUUGCAUAAUGUAUGUACAGAAAUCUUGACUAAAAUAUUAGCGGAAUGAAUAUGAAUGCAGCAAUGUAUU